rnacentral:lncRNA from 1 species
AACGCACUUAGCGCAGCGGCAGCAGGUUUUGGGUAGAAUCGUAAUGGCAUAUUCUUAUGUUGGUCAAGAGGGAAGAGCAGUAACAGCUUGUUCUUCACAGUCGGCAGUUGACCUUAAGUUCCGUCCGGGACAGAACGAGCUCUCCAACUUCACAAAUGGUUCUAAGACAGCCGAAGAACAGGCGCUGGAAUCUACUCUGAGGAGCUAACAACCAGAAUAUCCUUACUUCUGGACGUUGAUAUGCAAUGACUGCACCAUCAAGUGGCCCAUGCGACACCAAGCCAAAGCCUGUUUCGCGCGGAACCCAGCAGAACGCAGCCCUCCUCCCGCCCAACCGACCGAGGGGCGCUGCCCCAUGACGCGCGGUGCCAUUAACAG